UGGCGGUAAGUGGUGAUCUUGGAGACUGAUGAUCUGACACUGACUCUAGGAAUCCCAUCCACAGGUCCGAGUUCAGUACUCCUAGAAAAGGUAAUUACUAUUGCUUCCUCCACGGGUCCGAAUUCAGUACUGAAGAAUCUGCUAAGGUAGGCUACCAGAAAAGAACGCCAAAGAAAGUGUUAGAAGUACAUUCAUGUUCACUGUGUUGAACAUAACUGGUUCAGGAUUAUGAAGCUAUACCAUCGUGUACCGAAAGCGGGAGACACCCAACACAAAACUGUAUACAUGGUACACUUUUAUUUUAGUUUGUACAGUUUUGUACAGUUUUGUGUUAAGGCAUGUUAAGGUACUGUUGUAGUAGGACACCUACUCACAAAAUCUUUGUUGGGUGUCUCCGAAAUAAAACUGUACCUUAACAUAAUCCUGAACCAGUUAUGUUCAACACAAUAGAAAUCCGAAAUAAAAUUGUACCUUAACACAAUAGUUGUACCUUAACACAAAACUGUACAAACUAAAAUAAAUACAUGUCAACAUGCCUAAUAACUUUGAAAGUCGGAGUCCUACUACAACAGUUCACACUCAAUAGUCAGAAGAGGCUAAUUAAGGUACUGGUAUAAGGUACUUAAUUGUGAUACCUAAUAUCUAGCCUUAAAGAAUUUAGAUAAGAUGUCAAGGGUUCUUUAGUCUAUAAAUGGCACUCACCUGAACACUAAAGUCAUGGUUGUCAUUGCAUAGCUCUAGACUAAAUAAUAAGGGCAUAACCAAAAGAUUUAAGCAUUAGUGCAUGAACGAAGAGAAAAUAAAAUAAGCCUAUAAUGUCCCAUGCUAUAUGCGCACCAAAUCAGGGUAACAGAAGAUCACCCAUAUGAAAAACGGAACUAUGCGAGUAUAAAUUUUUAGGAAAAUGAUAAAAUGGUGAGAUUCAUUGGGUAGUAAGGAUUACAAGCUCGGGUAUGUAAAUUUGAACAAAUAGAAGAUUAAGAAAGGAUAACACGCAACAAAAAAAGCUUGCAAAAAGUAGUAGUAAUUUUACCUCGGUAACAGAAAUAGUACCAAAAAAUAUUAGUUGGCAUUUCCUCCGGAUGGUGAAUUUCCUGGAACAAAGAGCAGUAGGUAUAAUGCUGGUGUUACUUUCUUAUGCAAGCACCAAAACUUCGCCAAAAAAAAUAUAUUGGGAGCAUUGUACCUUUAUUAUCCCUAUAAUCCUUGCCCUUGCUUCUAGACAAUAUGAUGGCAGUGCAAGCUAGCCAGCAUCUUCAGAUUAGUCCAUCCAAAAACACACCAAAGAUAACAGUUGGAUUGUAUCAUCCCUGAAACGACAUUAUUAGAAAUUCAGUUGGCACUUAAUAGUAAAUAGAAGUGCAGGGCUUGCUUAUCAUGCAAAAUAGGCAAGAGAUAAGCAAAAAUGGUAUAUACCAACAAAGAGUAUAUGUCAACCUAAACCUGAAGCAGUAAAAAUAGCCAUCCACUUGCUGAAGGAAGAAAUAAAUGAAAUAUCAGGGAGUUCGUGUAUCUCCUGCUCUGAAAGUGUUGUAUAUGAUAAAAUCAAAAAAGCGGAAAGCCUAAAAGUGACCGAACAACACUUUCAAUGAGGUUUUGUUUAUGCAAAUAGUAUAUAUCACCCGACAUAACCAUGGCCAAAAAUACAAGAUGGGUCAAUAAAACUCUCCAUCAAUUUUGCCAUCGAAGCAAGAUGAUCUUUGUGUAACACCAAUCAUUAGAGAAACCUCAAAUCCAACUAUAUGGAGUGACUUUCUGAAAGAGUCCUAUUUACAUCAGUAUAUUACUAUCAUCCUAUUUGCAUCAGUAUAUUACUAUCUGAUUAUCAAUUAACAUCAAAAGUCAGUUACCACUAAACUGUGAAACACUCGGACUAUGACAAAGGAGAGUUUAACUCAAUCCUUUGGUUGAUACAAAAGCUGCAGAUAGUAGCUAAGUAUUGCAGAGAAAGGGCAAAAGAGUACCAAAUCUUCCAUGAACGCAAGAAGAUGCCAUGAAUGGAUGAUCUGGGUAAUCUGAUUCCUUUAAAUGCAAAGAUGGAUUUGACCAUCAAUCAUUAUUUCUAUGGCUCUGUAGCCAACACAUAUAUUGGUAGCACCAAACAAUAUGUUCUCUGUUUGAGGUUUUAAAAGAGACAAAACCGUGAGAACUUGAAGAGAAAAAGAAAUUCUUAAACUGAAGAAGGGAAAAAAGAGUAGAUAGAUCACACGCAUACUACCAUUAUUCAGCAUGUCCGGUCUAUGAUAGAACAAUCAGCACUGAUUCAGUAAUUAGAAGGUCAUUUCACGCAUAGUGAAGAUCACGAGGAAUAUAUGUAUUGGUGAUGCUUUCCCUCCUCACCAGGCUGCUCCUUUUGUGGGGGUUGCGGUGAAACAAGUCUGCACAGAAAAUCAUGAUUAUGCAUACCACCUAGAAUAGAAAUUAACCAGUGAGAAAGGUAUAUUUCAUACAGAACAACUUUCCUGGCACCUUUACCAAGAUAGGGAAAAGGUACUCGCUCAGUUCACUUAUAAGACAUUGUAGCCAAUUCAGACAUCACCCAAAACAGUUCAUGUCAGUUGUCUGAAACGUCUUAUAAAAGUGCACGGAGGGAGUAUAUCUAAUUGUAACCACCUUCAUAUGAUUCAAUGAAAAAAAUUCACAGGGUGUCACUUCUGCAUAACAGGUUGAUUUUACUGGAGAGAAAACUGAGUCGUACAACUUAUUUGUUGGUGCAAAUGUCCCUCUUGGACAGUCGUAAGAACCCAUCUUUUGUAGUGCAUGCAUUACAGUCAUUCCCUAUUCCACCUACAUUUACCCAGUAAAACCUCUACAGCCUGGACAUUUUCUUUUAAUACCAAACACAUGUGCUCCCUUUUUAAGUGUGCGUUUGAAGCUUCAGAAAAUUCAAAACGAAUCUUACAUGUACAUGCCAGAGCGCACUAUUUAUCUUCAAUGUUUUGUGAAGAGACAUCAUUUGAUUUGCCAUCUGCACCAAAACGACAAGAACGAGAGGCUAAAAAGCAGCUUCAUCUGCUCUAUUUUUCUGUUACAAGUUUCCUCAUGCUUCCAAAUGUUAAAAAAAUCACACUCAUCAAUGAUUGAUUAUUUUGUGAACUUGCAAAGUCAUAAUAAUGAACCAUUGAUAUGUGUGAAUUUUCUUGAAACAUUUUGAAGCUGAUGAAAGGGUUCAUAUAGAAAGGGGAAAGAGGCGGACGUGAGAAUACCUGCAGACACCACAGCAGCUAUAUACACCUCGACACUUGCAAAGUCAUAAUAAAUGAACCAUCGAUAUGUGUGAACUUUCUUGAAACAUUUUGAAGCUGAUGAAAAGGUUCAUAUAGAGAGGGGAAAGAGGCGGGCGUGAGAAUACCCGUAGACACCACAUCAGCUAUAUACACCUCAACACCAUGUUGAGCAUAGAUAGUUCGUGAUACCAAAAUAAGAUAAAUCUUAGUGUACUGACACUAAAAUUUUUGGAUAUUAGUUGCGGCCACGAUUAUGUGAUAUCUACCAAACUUAAAAAAAGUGAGAUAACAAAAAGGGAGGCAUUUAGGAAUCAUUUUUUUUCCUGGAGGCAAAGAAUUUAAGUCCUAAUGCCACUAUCCCCCAAUUCUCUCUCUCUCUAUCUUUCUUAGAAAAGAUGCAUUCUAUAUAGAAAAUAGGUAACUGGAAUAUAAGCAAAAUAAAAUAAAUCAUAACAUCAAAAUGAGGAACAAACGUGACUUUGUUAGAAAGAGAGAGAGAUAAUCCACCUUGUUCUUCACCAAAAUCUUCCUCAGGAUUCUUCUUCUCUUCUUUCUCAGAUCUACACACAUCAUGUAAAGAAAAAUCAAGAAAUGAAAAUCAACUUUAGCUAGCUGACAAGGUCUGGAUGCAUCAGGAAAAGUUAACUCUGCUCUCGUGUAGUGGGUUAAUAAAGUUGAAGUUUGCUGACCAUAAAAAAGUUGCUGACUAACUCCAUGAACACCAGCAGGGAACAUUGCCAUGGGAGGACCAACAGUUUGAGCCAUUGAAACAGGACGUGUUUGUGUAAACCGUGCCUGCAAAAAACAAUAAUUUUAGUGCCCGAAAAUCUAGUUGCUGCACAAAAAAGAAAUUUAUGUAGUAGUAUUCGAGAGAUUUGUUUCAUAUGCAUGCUUCAGGAAAGUAUAGUGUAGGACGACAUAAGGGGCCAUGGUGAUGGCCUGAACCUGCACGCCCGCCAUGGUGCUCAUCCUUCCAUUUCCAUUGUGAUGGCCUGCCUGCAGAAACCAAUCCAACCGCGGGGGUCAUCCAGAAGAAGAAGAAGAAGAGGGUAGGAGGAUGGAGGGCGUGCGUGCGUACCUUUGAAGUCUAGGUGCUGCAGCCCGUCGCGGGCGUCGAGGGCCACCGCAAGCUUCGCUCCCCACCCGACCAAGAGAAGGCCACCGCCGUCAUCAUCCAUGGGUGGGUGUGGGGCUAGGGUUCCGCCCCCAUCCAUCGAUCGUUCCAUCCAUCCAUGGCCUUCCUCGAGGACCACUUGGACGACGACGCGCCGGUGCAGGUGCCGCUGCGGAUCUGGGCAUCGCUCUGCUCCUCGAUCUGGGGCCUCCCCUCUCCUUCCCUUCCCUUCCCUUGCUUUGGAGAGGAAGGAAGGUGUCACCCAUGGCUCGCCGUGCCGAGUUGAACGCCCUCCGUCCUUUUGCCAAGAGAAGAGAAACCAAGGGGAGGAGGAGAGGGCCAUGGCGGCGGCGGAGUGCAUGGGAGGAGAUGGAGCGGGGCGUGGGGUGCGGGGCUUGAGACGGAAGGGGAUUGGGGGCUAGGUUUUGACCGCACGCCCUGCAGCCCACGGUCGUUGCGGCCCAUCCUCUUUUCGAGCUGAACGUGCGCGCAUGCGCUCACCAUGACUGCAACAGAGGGCCCAUGCAGAAGGGUGGCCCAGGCGUCAUCCACUGUAACCCGAACACACAACGUACAGAAAAACGAACGCCCAGAUAUAUACCAGCGAGAUAGAAAGUACAACUUCAGUGGACAGCAAGGCAGAUCCUGGGGCUGGAUGAAUUUGAAACCGCGAGGGCGCUGAAACGGCGGGUAGUGUAGGAGGCUUUAUAUGUUAGACUAGUUAAGCAAAAUAAAGCACACGUAUGUCCCGCCGGGCAAGCCUAACGUGCAGUGGCUUGCAGUUUUGGUAGCUCCGUACGUCAAGCCAAGAAGCGUGACGCGAUACUUUUGCUUUCGUUUUUCGGCCUUGGAUAUUGACGUGUCUCUUUCCCUUACUUGCAGUUAGCUGGUUGAUUGACACUUGAUAUACGUUAAGUUCGUUCCAGCUAGGCCUAGGCGGGCGUGUGAAGUGCAGCAGAACAAGUGUUCCUGUCAUAAUCACCACUCUGUUCAUCAGAAAGUUGCGUGUUUGGUUUUGGUAUGUUGCACCGAGGGCUGUGCAAAUCCGACCUGCUGACACCUGUUUUCUUAUUACUCAAAUCAGUUUUGUAUUAGAUCUUUUUUCUUAGUCAAAUCUAGUUUAUC
rnacentral:lncRNA from 1 species